rnacentral:rRNA from 1 species
CACCGCCCGUCGCUCCUACCGAUUGAAUGAUCCGGUGAAAUGUUCGGAUCGCCGCGACGUGGGCGGUUCACUGCUCGCGACGUUGCCAGAAGCGCAUUGAACCUUAUCAUUUAGAGGAAGGAGAAGUCGUAACAAGGUUUCCGUAGGUGAACCUGCGAAAG